UACCAUCAGAUAAGUCCUUUGGUGAUCUUUGAGAAGGCAUUUUUAUCAGGGAUUUUGAGAUAAAAAUGAUAUGUCAAAAUGUUAAAGAAGAAAUGUAUUUAAAAAAAUGGUGAAAGUUGAUUAUAGAAUGCUCACCCAAGAAAGGUGGAAUUUAUGGCAGUAGAAACGACAGCCUGAUACACAAAUUGAUCGGAAAGUGUAUUUUCCUCAUCAAAGACUGAAUACAAAGUUUCAGGACUUUGGAGCUUUUCUGACUCUCUUCCGGCUUUCAGACACCAAGGUCAGUUUUCUGAAGUUGUAACUGUGGGAUAUGAGAGGCAAAGCAAAAGAAGAGCAAAGGUUCAAAUCUUGUGUUGUGCAACUGUAGUAAAUUUUUCAGUUCAGAUAAGAAUGAACCCUGGCCAGCACCUGGAGUGCAGCCAUGUGAAACCCUGACCAGAGGACCCAGCUACACUGUGCCUGGACCCCUGGGACUGAUCCCUGAUGUCAUGUCAUGAAAAGGCCAAAAGGGACUCAUCAGAUUUGGCCCCUCAAUCUUGGACUUCCCAGUCUCCAGAAACAAAGUUCAGAUAAACUAUUAUUUAUUAUUUAUCCAAGCUAUGGUAUUUUGUUAACGGCAAUAAGUAAACCAAGUCAGGUGUAUUGUGAUGUAACUGCAAUGUAACAUGGAUUUCUAUUAAAAGAAGGAGUGAGGGUGCUGCUGGGAGUGUCUCAAAAAGGUGCCAUUCAUUCUCAUCUCUUUCCUGGUAUGUAUCUCCUGUAGAGAGCUGGCUCUUCCAAAUCCCAGUCUUUUCACAAGAGCACAUACUUAAGUAAUAAUUUGGCACAGGGCAACUGUGUAGAUAUUUUGGGCCCAAAGAAGAUGAUUCUGAUGCAUCAUUCUAGAUCCAUAGAUGGCCACAGUUUCAGUGUCAGGACUUUUCUUUCAGUACAAUCCUACUUCUUUCCCUUCCAUUUUGCAUUGAUUCCAAUGUGAGUCAGCUUGUUGACCACCCAACCAGUUUAAGAACUUAUUUUGAAAUACUAAAAUUCUAACCACCCACAGGCAGAGAGUGUCGCUUAUCUAGUCUACAUAUAUCCUCUGAAUUCACUUCAAUUCCACAUUGUGAUUUAUUUAGAUAUAAUAUUGAUAGAGAUGUACUUUAGACUUCAUACUUAAGUAGCAAAGUGUUUCAGGUGUUUGCUUCCAAAAAAACUGUUAUUAUUGUAAAUAAAACCAUGAAUAGAUUAUACUAUAUUAUAUCAAUGUGAAAACCAAUCUGAAAUAGAAUUAAAUAAUGGAAAACUCUAAUGUCUUGUAUUACAUAUUUGAAUAUUGCUCAAAGUUUGUAGAUUUUCUCUUCAUAAAAGGUAGCUUUCAUUUGCUUAUUGAAAUGAUGAGUUUCAGAAACUUGCUGCAAAACUUAAUUGUAAAUAAAACAUACUUUCUCACUAUUAAAACUUUAUUUAACUGGGAAACAAGUUUUGAUUGUAGGAAAGUCAUGUUUUAAAACUUUUUGGUAAAUCAAAUAAAUGCAAAUUUCAGAAAAUGUCAACAUUAAAAUACACUUGUACAUAAAAUAGCUUAAACACUAAUAAUUGGUUAUUCCUGUUAUUUAAAAAGAAACUGAAAAUAUUUCUUUUGUGCUCAAAAAAAGAAAAAAAAGAUUAAGAAAUUUUCCUUAAUUUGCUAGAAAAAGUAU